GAUAACAAGGAUGUUCCCUUGCCCUCAAAUGUACAUAGUUCCAUCUGUAAUAAUGCUGUUACAACUGACAUGAAUUACAUUUGGCAUUUAAGACUUGCCCAUACUUCAAUUACAAAUAUGAGACACAUUUCUGGUUUGUCUUUUCCAUUUGAUUCUAAACAACCUUUCCCCUAUUCUGUCUGUCCUAUGACAAGACAGACUAGACUCCCUUUUCCUGAUAGUUCUAU
rnacentral:lncRNA from 1 species